GGCAACACAGGCUAAGAGUAAAGUAUAACACAUGGCUCUAACAUCCAAAAGUGUCUACAACGAGAAAAUACAUGGAUAAAACUACUAGCUAAGGGUAGAGUAGAGGCAGACUCUUCGGCUCUACGGACGCGGCAUAUAUAUACCUCAGAUCUCCGAGUAUAGCUACUAAUCAGUGAUAGCGCGCCGAAACAGAUGUACCAGGAUCUGCACAACAAAAGUGUGCAGAAAAGUAGCAUGAGUAUACCGCAGCAGUAUUCAGUAAGUGCCAAGCCUAACCUCGAUGGAGUAGUGACGAGGAAGGUCGAGGCCCUACUGAGGAGAACAUAAGAAAUAUGUAAAAAUAAGCAAACAGUUGAUAAUAAAAUAAAUCUGAAUAUCUAACAAGACAGUAAUUAAAAACAUAGCGGCUACAAGUACAAACUACAAACACAAAGCAAAUCACUCAACAGUCAGAAUCUCUACAUGGAGCUCCGGGACCGAACCCGCAGUACACCUUAUCAAUAUUCGAGGAUCUCAGGGAAUUGAAACCACAGUCCUUCAUACCAAUAUUAGAGGAUCUCCGAGAAUUGAACCCGCACUCCUUUAUACUAAUAACAGGGGAUCUCCGGGAAUUGAAUCUGCAAUCCUUUAUACCAAUAACAAAGGAUCUCCAGGAAUCGAACCCGCAGUCCUUUUCAACCCGUAGUCCAACAUACCAAUAACAGGGGGAUCUCCCGGGAAUUGAACCCGUAGUCCCAAACGUAAACACUUCACAACAAGUCAAUAUUUAACAGAAAGAAAACCAAAUAUAGCAACAAUGUAAAGGUCUAGGCCUAGCAUGCUCACAAAAAGGGAAGGUAUUUGCAAUUUAGUCAGAUAGAGCAAAUAAAUUACUAACAUAUUUUUCCUAAGCUAAGCAAGAAGAAUCACAUUAUUAAUAGUUAAAUACACGAAGAAACACAGUUUAAAUAAGUCAAGUAAUGUGAAUUUUCAGCAAUCAGCACAACUACACGCCCUUCACCUCGCGCACGAGGCCUUUAAACAACAAUAAAUAUAUCCUAAGGGGAGAGAUCCCCCACAGAAGGUUAGACAAGCCACUUACCUCGAAUUGAUACAAAACCGCUAAGAAACAAUGCCCUUGCCACGAGUAUCCGAAUACGAGUGACCCAAAUCUAUUCAAACCAAUUACAUAUCGUAAAUAACAUCGCAAGUAACUAAUUACACUGUUAGAAAUAAUGUUAAGGCGCAAAAAUAGGUGAAAUGACAAAAAUGCCCCACAGGACAACGCCUCGGAAAAUAACGUAAAUAACAUCUAAAGUAACUAAUUACACUGUUAAAAGUAAAGUUAAGGCGCGAAAAUAGGUCAAAUGACCAAAAUGCCCCUCAGGCCAACGUCUCGGAAUCGAAUAAUUUUUACAUUUUCAUAAACCUCGUACUCUCACGAGUCUAACCUUAUAAAAAUCUCCCAAAUCGGAGGUCAAAUGCCCCUUCAAAUCAUCAAAGUUAGGUCUAAGAACUUUACCCAAUUUUCAUUCAAAAAUCGAAAUUGAAGGUUGGAUUUGAGAUUAGAUUAAUGGGUUUUAAUCAUAGAAGAGUAGAGAAUCGUUACCCAGUGAUUUCCUUUGAGAAUCGUUACCCAGUGAUUCAGUUUCAGCAGGUAGUUCUCGCUUUAUCUGAAUCAAAGGAGUUCUUCUAACGAAAAUGGCGAGAUGUGUGUUCUAUACAAUCUCUUUUCGAUGAUGCACCUGUUAUUCAAUAAAAGUUUUGAAGUUUUCUUCUUUUUUCAAAUACUUGGAUUUAUUCAGGCAAUUAGGAUUUGUGGGGUUUUCAUUUUCAAGAAAGUAAGUUUUUUGGUUGGAGAUUGUGGCAAAGUUUUGAUAUUUUUGGUCUAAGAAACUUCUUGUGUGUGGUUCAAGAAAAAUGACUGUGGAUGAAAUUAGAGGAAAUAAUAAGGGUGGUGAAAGGGAAAAUUAUCAAAAUUAUGAUAAUUUUCCAAUUGGUAUGAGAGUUCUUGCUGUUGAUGAUGACCCUAUUUGUUUGAAAUUAUUAGAUGGUUUGCUCAGGAAAUGCCAGUAUUAUGGUAUAAGCUACUUCUGCUGCUGAGUUUUUUGGUUGCUUGUUCUAUUUUUCUGUUUUAUCUGAAGGAAAAAAAAGGUUUUAACUUGUUUAAUGAUGGUUGUUUCUUGUUUCUAACUUUUAAAAAGAGCAUUUAAGUGUGUGUACUCUAUAAAGAAUGGAUUUUUGCUCUGGUAAAAGGGGUUUUCAAAUUGGUAUGUACAGUUUCAUGACUUCAAUUUGCAGGGGAUAUGAAGAGAGUUA
rnacentral:lncRNA from 1 species